rnacentral:lncRNA from 1 species
UGGGUUCUUAAUUUGAAAUUACAAUAAAUGUAUGUCGAUUUAAGCCAAAAUUAUCAUUAAUAUAUAUAUCUAUUACACUAAUAUUAAACCAAAACGAUAGUACCCUGAAUCAAACUCAAAAUAAUCAUAAAUAUAUAUAGAAGUUUAUUACACUAUAUGGCUGGCACCCCCGAUCCGCUCCUGGCCGCCUACGCCUCUCCAACCGACUCCCUCUCCAUCCAGAGUCCAGAUAAACUCCCUUCUUCUCAAGUUGGAAAGUCGGGGAAGCUAAUGAAACACAGGAGGGCUGCUUGCCAAUUGUGGGUGAAAACUAAUGGAAUCCUCAUUCAUCUCUCCGACGAGUUCUUCUGAUACUGCUGCUUCCCAUUUUAAAACCAUUUUUCCAAAUCUUAAACAAACCCUAAUCUCUUUGUCAGCAUAAUCUCGAUCUGCUUAAUCUGUAGAUUUAUGUUUGUGGUUGGAAAUUGAAACGAAAGAGGAUCAAAAUCGUUCAGUAGUUUCUUUGAAGAUUGGAGGCAGGGACGGAGGGUGAAUGGGCGAAGACGGGAAAGUUUUAAUUUUUAUAUUUUGUUUUCCUCUUAGAUUCCUCUCUCUCCACUUGAAUUUUUUGUAUGUUUUAAUUACGAUCGUCAGAUCUCCUAUGCCCAUUCUCACUCGUUAGAUCUAGUCGUCAGCGCCUACUCACGAAUAGGCCAUCCAACACCCAGGCCAAACUGUAUCAUUGACUCUCGGAGGGAUUCCCAUGUUUCAAUCCUUGCGUCAAAUAACCAACCGUCCAAAUUUCAGCCAAUUUGCAUUUUGUUAAACUACUGCCCACGUUCCUUGUCGACAUCAUCUGGCCAUGCCAACAAACUAAACCAAACUUUUUUUACAAACGAUCCGACCAUGAACCAAUCAACAAAACAAAUCUGAUUCGAUUUCGCGCCCUGCAUUGUAGGAUGCGCGGCGCAUUGUGUGCCAUGCAUUUACUUAAAAUUCGGUGAUAAUGAUAUGGACAAUCAUGGGUAUUGUAACUAAUGGGCCAUGGCCCUAUAACUCAGACCUCCGCUACCCGACAACUAUGACUUCACAGGCCCAAUGGUAGGCCUCCAUCAGUCCAGUAUGGUAAAGCCCAAAACAUGUUUACUGGUAUUAGGAGUGAAUUUCAGCUGUUGAUCCAUCAACAACCCAUAUUUUGAGCUUUAUUCGUUGGAAGCCCGAAGGUCUCCUAAUUAUGAAUCGGCAUGUGGUAUUCGGCUUCGAAUUCGAUUAACUAUAAAACCAAAAUUUAAUAUCGGCAUCUGAUAUUUCAUUAUAAUUACGUAGUUUUAAGCGAUUUAAACUAAAUAUUCAAAUAACUAAUUACUUUCACAGUUGUCUAGUUAUUACUUAUUACUGAGUAAUCAGAUGUGACAUUGUUGAUAUAACUAGUUACCAAGUGGAACAAAUAGUUAUAAUAAUAGAACUAGUUGUUUAGUCACACACUACUAAUUAUUCUUACAAUUAUUU